AACGGUCUAUACCUGCGGUACCUGCGGAAGGAUCAUUAAUGAGAAACUGCCCCUCGCGGGUAGAUCUCCCACCCUUUGUAAACUUACCUUUGUUGCUUUGGCAGGCCCGUCUCCGGACCGCCGGCUUCGGCUGGCCAGUGCCUGCCAGAGGAUUCUAAAACUCUGUCUGUCAGUGUUGUCUGAGUCUAUAUACAAUCGUUAAAACUUUCAACAACGGAUCUCUAGAUCGGAAGAGCACAC
rnacentral:misc_RNA from 1 species